rnacentral:ncRNA from 19 species
UUAAGCUUCAGCGCCAUAGGCGGGCGGCUUCUGCUUUUCUUGUUUUCGACUUAAUAGGGAAGUUGGUGUCAUUCCAACGCGGUCCCGCCACUGUAAAUGGGAGCUGCUACAAAAUCCACUGUGCAUAUGUUGCAUGGGAAGGGGUAGCAAGUGAUGAUCAUAAGCCAGGAGACCUGCCGGUGCUAUCGUUAAUCAA